AUUGAACGCUGGCGGCAGGCCUAACACAUGCAAGUCGAACGAGUGGCGGACGGGUGAGUAAUGUCUGGGAAACUGCGUGAUGGAGGGGGAUAAAUACUGGAAACGGUAGCUAAUACCGCAUACCAGCGGGUGUGCACAGAUGUGUGUAGCUAGUAGGUGGGGUAAGGGCGCACCUAGGCGACGAUCCCUAGCUGGUCUGAGAGGAUGACCAGCCCCACUGUAACUGAGACACGGUCCAGCCUCCUACGGGAGGCAGCAGUGGGGAAUAGUGCACAAUGGGCGCAAGCCUGAUGCAGCCAUGCCGCGUGUAUGAAGAAGGCCUUCGGGUUGUAAAGUACUUUCAGCGGGGAGGCGUUACCCGCAGAAGAAGCACCGGCUAACUCCGUGCCAGCAGCCGCGGUAAUUC
rnacentral:rRNA from 1 species